AACGAACGCUGGCGGCAGGCUUAACACGUGCAAGUCGAACGCCCCGCAAGGGGAGUGGCAGACGGGUGAGUAACGCGUGGGAACAUACCCUUUUCUACGGAAUAGCUCUGGGAAACUGGAAUUAAUACCGUGUACGCCCUACGGGGGAAAGAUUUAUCGGGGAAGGAUUGGCCCGCGUUGGAUUAGCUAGUUGGUGGGGUAAAGGCCUACCAAGGCGACGAUCCAUAGCUGGUCUGAGAGGAUGAUCAGCCACAUUGGGACUGAGACACGGCCCAAACUCCUACGGGAGGCAGCAGUGGGGAAUAUUGGACAAUGGGCGCAAGCCUGAUCCAGCCAUGCCGCGUGAGUGAUGAAGGCCUUAGGGUUGUAAAGCUCUUUCACCGAUGAAGAUAAUGACGGUAGUCGGAGAAGAAGCCCCGGCUAACUUCGUG
rnacentral:rRNA from 1 species